GACGAACGCUGGCGGCGUGCCUAACACAUGCAAGUGGAGCGACGAACCAGGGCUUGCCCUGGGGCCAAGCCGCGAACGGGUGAGUAACACGUGGGUAACCUGCCCCGAUGACCGGGACAACCCGAGGAAACUCGGGCUAAUACCGGAUGUGGUGGACACACUUAAGUGUGUCCACUAAAGGAAGCUUCGGCCUCCGCAUUGGGAUGGGCCCGCGGCCCAUUAGCUAGUUGGUGGGGUAAAGCCUACCAAGGCAACGAUGGUAGCUGGUCUGAGAGGACGAUCAGCCACACUGGGACUGAGACACGGCCCAGACUCCUACGGGAGGCAGCAGUGGGGAAUCUUGCGCAAUGCGCGAAAGCGUGACGCAGCAACGCCGCGUGAGGGAAGACGGCCUGGU
rnacentral:rRNA from 1 species